rnacentral:tRNA from 1 species
UUUAAGAAAACAUAUUCAUAAAUGUAUAUAGUUUCGACCUAUAAUAAGACAUAAAAACCAAAUGUCUCUUAAAU